GGGUGGUAAUGCCGGAUGCUCCGACUCCUCGCAUGGGGUGUCGGGAAAGAUUUCAUCGGUAUGGGAUGGGGUCGCGUCCUAUCAGGUAGUCGGCGGGGUAACGGCCCACCGAGCCUACGACGGGUAGCCGGCCUGAGAGGGCGACCGGCCACAUUGGGACUGAGAUACGGCCCAGACUCCUACGGGAGGCAGCAGUGGGGAAUAUUGCACAAUGGGCGCAAGCCUGAUGCAGCGACGCCGCGUGCGGGAUGACGGCCUUCGGGUUGUAAACCGCUUUUGAUCGGGAGCAAGCCUUCGGGUGAGUGUACCUUUCGAAUAAGCACCGGCUAACUACGUGCCAGCAGCCGCGGUAAUACGUAGGGUGCAAGCGUUAUCCGGAAUUAUUGGGCGUAAAGGGCUCGUAGGCGGUUCGUCGCGUCCGGUGUGAAAGUCCAUCGCUUAACGGUGGAUCUGCGCCGGGUACGGGCGGGCUGGAGUGCGGUAGGGGAGACUGGAAUUCCCGGUGUAACGGUGGAAUGUGUAGAUAUCG
rnacentral:rRNA from 1 species